AUGUUGGCAAAGAUCUACAUAACUGACAGGAGAAAUAGCAGAAGAUACACCAAAAAAGCAGAAGAGAUAUGGCUUCACGAAUCCCGCUGGGCCUGGUGCCUGGGUGCUGCAUCCUGGGGAGACGAGGGUAAGCGGAGGGUGGGGCUCUCUUUCUUGGGGACCUUGACCCCCCUCCCUUUCUCUCCCCUCCCGGGUUGCCGGGGGCCCAGCCACGUGCAGGCUGUGGCGGGGGAGCCACGGGGGAGAGCGCUGGGUCAGCAGCACCAGGCAGCUCCUGGCUGGCUCCCCGGGUUGGCUUUGCUCAAGGCGAGAGCUGUCAACUCUGCCCUUUUGAAAAUGAGCAACAAAGGGGAAAAGAAAGAAAAGAGAAAGGGAAGUGGGGGAGCCCAGGGUGGGAGUCGGGGGGAGGCCAGGGCUGGGAGAACAGGUGGGGACUAUUUAAACAGAAGGCCUGACUCAGCCGUUUUCUUUCACUGAGUUUCCAAAGGACUGUU
rnacentral:lncRNA from 1 species